CUUUUCUCUCUCUUUUUUUUUAUUAUUAUUUUUGAUAGAAAUCGAUGGGGUUUUUGGGUUGCUUUUUGAUAGGGAAUGAAAGAAACACAAACGUUGACCUCUGCCUCUCAUUUCAUUUAUUGGAUGUGUUUGUCGAUUUCUUUCUACUUAAUCCUUCAGGUUGGUUUUUUUUGGGCUUUAGUAUGCCUUCCAUGUGUUCGAUGAAAGUUCUAUUUGAACUUUAACUCAUACAACUGCUUAUCUUGAUUCAUUGUAACAAUUCCUUUUUUUUUACAUUUGGUUGUUUUACUUGCCAACGCUACCCUACAAGCAUCUCAUCCUACAUAUUGCUUCAACAUGUCCACCAGUUUCUCCUUUUGGUGCCAUUAUUCUUCAGUGGAACCAUAGAUUAUGGUGAGUUUCUUGCUGCAACUCUUCACCCUAACAACCUGGAGAGAGGGGAGAAUUUGCUUUCUGCUUUUGCAUUCUUUGAUAACGAUGGAAGUGGAUACAAUGAUCCAAGAAAUGGAUCAAGAUAAUGAUUGACAAAUUGAUUUUGGGGAAUUUGCUCCGACUAUGAGGAAGGGUAAUGGUGGAAUUGGGAGAAGAACCAUGAGAGGUAACCUUAAUUUAAACUUAAUGUGAACUUGUAGGUGGUGUGUCACCCAAAAGUCAACUGCAAACUAAAGUCAACAGCAGUGAAAAAAUUGACAUUACUAUUGUUAUUAUUAUUAUUUCUUUGUUUUUAAACGAAAUGGGGUUAACAUUGAACUAGGAUAUAUAUACAUAUAAAUAUAUUUGACUUUGUCUUUGUUUAUGGGCUAUGGUGACUUGGCUACUUGCUACAUUCAAAAUUGAAAGUCAAUCCAAAAAUGUGAAGCUUAGAUUUGAGCCUAAGGGCUUACAAUAAGUAACAACGACAGAGUCUUCUCUGCUAAUUAAGCUGACUAUUUUUGUCUUGGAGCCCUUACAGUGACAUGACAAAUUAUCAAGAUAGGUUCUUAAAGUGGCAAUCAAAAUAUGAGACGUUGUUUAGUUCCAUCAAUACAUAAUUUGAAACGGAUAUUUUAGUUCUCAAUGGAGUAUUAUAAAACGAAUGAUUGGAAAAAAAAAAAUCUCUUCUACCAUGAUGUGUUUCUGGUACAUGAAUCUUUAUUUAUUUAUUUAUUCAUAAUUGGUUCGUUUUCUGCUAUUUUAUGGUUACUACCGUAAGGGCUAUGUUGUAAUUUCAUAUGGUUGGAAUAUUUGCAGAUAGAAACCAAAAAAUAUAACCGAAAAAUGUGAUUUUUAAAAAGAUCCAAAUUUCAUGUGGUCAAUAAUGAUGAUCAUAAUAUAAUUUUGAAAAGGUUUUUCAUAUUUUUAACAAGUUGUCAUGUUUAAUCUUUUUGGUAUAUUGGUCAACAGGAGGAUAUUCUUCACAAAGAAGCCUAAUUCAACAAAAGGGACAAAA